CUGUCUCCCCCAUUAGACUGUGAGCUCCUUGAGGGCAGGAAUGGCUUUUG
ensembl:miRNA